rnacentral:lncRNA from 1 species
GAUAAGUGUGCUGCGAAUCUGGGACUCUCAUAAGUAGCUACAGGAAAAGCAGUUUGAGGCCUUCAUCUCGGAUAUGGCUUCCUGGUACUGAUACCUCAGAAGCUUGCAACAACAGAAGCUCAUCAAGAGAUCGACUGGCAAAACCACUGAUUCAACAUGUGAGAAUAUGUUUUAGGGUUAAGUAAACAAUGG